rnacentral:misc_RNA from 1 species
AACGCACAUUGCGCCCUCUGGUAUUCCGGGGGGCAUGCCUGUUCGAGCGUCAUUACAACCCUCAAGCUCUGCUUGGUAUAGGCCUUACCUGCUACAGGCAGGCCGUAAAAUCAGUGGCGGUGCCAUUCGGCUUCAAGCGUAGUAAUUCUUCUCGCUUCGGAGUACCGGUUGCGUGCCUGCUAUAAAACCCCAAUUUAUCAAAGGUUGACCUCGGAUCAGGUAGGGAUACCCGCUGAACUUAA